UUCUUGAAAAAUGUUCAUCUCCAACCUUCUCUUGGGAGACUAGGAAGCACCAGAAUGACUUUGACAAACUUGAAUACCAGAUUUUCUUAUGACUCAGGAAGAAGGUUAUGAUGUUUAUUUAGAAGGGACUUCUUAUUUAUAGCAUUUUGUCAAGUGGGGUGCUGGAGCCAGCUCACACUGGCCCAUAAGAUCUAAUUCUUAAAAAUUCAGGAGUUGUGUGAGUUGAUUGAUGACAGGCUGGUAGCUUGACAUCGGCCACGAUGGAAGUAUUUACACCAUGGAAAUCAGCAAAUGCUACAAACCAGGGCUUUUGCCAGUGCACCAUUGAAUUUAUCCCUUCUUUUUAAAUACUUAGAAGCAAUGAACACUAUGCGUGAAAUGCCUGCCAUGUCCUUUUUAAGCUAGCAGACCCACCAAAAUAUUAUAUAUCUGUGUGUGUAUAUAUAUGUGCAUAUAUAUAUAUCGUGUGUGUGUGUGUAUAUAUAUAUUUUUUUCUAUUUGAGGAAAGAAAACAAAGAAGGAACAUUAUCCAUGAGGAUAAAAGGAGUCCAAAGAAGAGAGAGAAAGCAACGGGCACAUAUGGCAGAAACUUCACGAACAUGUCAGACUUGGAGUCCAGUUGGAAGACCUUGAAGAGUAGAGAAGAAUGUUUCCUUCCCUUCAGGUGCAAAGGAGAAAAAGAAGUUAGAGCUGCCUGAGAUUUCUAGCCGAAAACUCUGGGUGGAAGAUGACAUGACAGCAGAGAGAGGAAAUUUGGAAAGAGACGCCACGUACACAGAGUGAAGCCAAAGAGGUUGGUUCUGGACAAUGUGCUAGUGCAAGUUCCUGUGGAGUAUCCAGGUUGAACAAGAACUAAAAACGUACACUGUAUAUUACAGUCUCAAAAUUUAAUAGUUCAUAUAUAUUUUUUAAAGAUUUUAUUUAGGGGAUCCCGGGGUGGCUCAGCGGUUUAGCACCUGCCUUCAGCCCAGGAUGUGAUCCUGGAGACCCGGGAUCGAGCCCCAUGUCGGGCUCCCUGCAUGAAGCCUGCUUCUCCCUCUGCUGGUGUCUCUGCCUCUCUCUCUCUCUCUCUGUGUGUGUGUGUGUGUGUCUCUCAUGAAUAAAUAAAUGAAAUCUUAUAAAAAAAUAAAAAAU
rnacentral:lncRNA from 12 species